rnacentral:rRNA from 1 species
GUUAAGUCAGAUGUGAAAGCCCGGGGCUCAACCUCGGAAUUGCAUUUAGAAACUGGACAAACUAGAGUACUGUAGAGGGGGUAGAAUUUCAGGUGUAGCGGUGAAAUGCGUAGAGAUCUGAAGGAAUACCGGUGGCGAAGGCGGCCCCCUGGACAGAUACUGACACUCAGAUGCGAAAGCCGUGGGGAGCAAACAGGAUUAGAUACCCUGGUAG